AUGCGCAGCAUUUCUUGCUUUCAGAUUGCCCACAGCACAACAAAAAUUAGCUGUGUGUCCUUACCAUCGAAGGCUAACACAUACUUACAAAGAUCAUUUACUGUCUCUACUCGAAAAUCAAUACCAAAACACACAUUUCACUACAAUCCAGAACUCCAGAUAUAUCUAGCAAUAGAACGCUGCAGAAAUAGAGGGUCUAUAGCUUAUUUCUCCUCACAAAACAAACAUCUAUCACUUCCCACUCCACAUCUUUUAUCUAAGACGUCUCUAGUCAAAAUACUCCUUUUAAACAUCAACCACACAAAAAAAAGAACUUUGAUUUUCACGGGCACUUUCAUGUACCACAUUUUCUUAAAUGGGCAUCUAGUUUAA
rnacentral:rRNA from 1 species